rnacentral:rRNA from 1 species
UACGGGGGGGGCAAGCGUUGUUCGGAAUUACUGGGCGUAAAGGGCUCGUAGGCGGCCAACUAAGCCAGAUGUGAAAUCCCCGGGCUCAACCUGGGAAUGGCAUUUGGGACUGCAAGGCUUGAGUGCGGCAGAGGAGACUGGAAUUCCUGGUGUAGCAGUGAAAUGCGUAGAUAUCAGGAGGAAUACCGAUGGCGAAGGCAGGUCUCUGGGCUGACACUGACGCUCAUGCACGAAAGCGUGGGGAGCAAACAGG